rnacentral:rRNA from 1 species
UACAGAGGGGCAAGCGUUAUUCGGAAUUAUUGGGCGUAAAGGGCGCGUAGGCGGCUUGGCAAGUGGAUGGUGAAUCCCUCGGCUUAACCGUGGGCUUGCAGCUGAUACGGGCGGGCUAGAGUUCGGUAGGGGAGACUGGAAUUCCUGGGUGUAGCGGUGAAAUGCGCAGAUAUCAGGAGGAACACCGGUGGCGAAGGCGGGUCUCUGGGCCGUAACUGACGCUGAGGAGCGAAAGCAUGGGGAGCGAACAGG